AAAAAGCUCGUAGUUGGAUUUCUGUCUGGGAUGGUCGGUCCGCACUUUGUGCGUGCAUCUGAUGCGUCCUCGGCAUCCUUCUGAAGGACAUUGUACUUUAUUGUAUGAUGGAUUUCAGAACUUUUACUUUGAGGAAAUUAGAGUGUUCACAGCAAGCAAGCGUUUUGAAUACAUUAGCAUGGAAUAAUAAUAUAGGACCUUCAGUACUAUUUUGUUGGUUUCUAGAGCUGAGGUAAUGAUUAAUAGGGACAGUUGGGGGCAUUCGUAUUAACGCGUCAGAGGUGGAAUUCUUGGAUUGCGUUACGACGAACUACUGCGAAAGCAUUUGCCAAGGAUGUUUUCAUUGAUCAAGAACGAAAGUAUGGGGAU
rnacentral:rRNA from 1 species